AACAAACGCUGGCGGCGUGCCUAACACAUGCAAGUCGUACGAGAAAGUCGGCUUCGGCCGAUGAGUACAGUGGCGCACGGGUGAGUAGCGCGUGGGUAAUCUGCCCCCCGGUCAGGAAUAACCCGCCGAAAGGCGGGCUAAUACCCGAUAACACUGACGCUCCGCGGAGCGUCUUUCAAAGAAGGCCUCUGUUUACAAGCUUUCGCCGGAGGAUGAGCCCGCGUACCAUUAGCUAGUUGGCAGGGUAAUGGCCUACCAAGGCUACGAUGGUUAGCUGGUCUGAGAGGAUGGCCAGCCACACUGGAACUGAGACACGGUCCAGACUCCUACGGGAGGCAGCAGUGAGGAAUAUUGCGCAAUGGGGGCAACCCUGACGCAGCAACGCCGCGUGAGUGAGGAAGGUUUUCGGACCGUAAAGCUCUGUCGAGCGGGAAGAAAUGUAUCGUGGCUAAUAUCCAUGAUAUUUGACGGUACCGCUAAAGGAAGCACCGGCUAACUCCGUG
rnacentral:rRNA from 1 species